UUGUGGACAAGCAGCACAGGGGUCUUCAGGAGCUGAGGGUCCCUUUGAUCAAGAAAAUCCAAUUAUUUGUGUAUAUACAUUUCCCACAUAGUGAUUAGUUCAUUAAUUGUCCCGCCUUUAUCACCUCCCCAUCCACCCCCUGUAAUAAUCAGUUCUUUUAUCCAGACCAACAAACACUCGGUAGGAGCUUUUGUACAUUCAAAGGAUUUGCUUUCUCUUGUGAAAGAGCUGCUGUGCUUUGAUGAUUGGGCAGCUGGGAACUUCAAAGGGACAGAGCCCGGGCUGUGACUGGCUGGCGGCCCAGCAAAGUCCUUAUCAAAUUCUUGGAGGUGCUCCCACUGCAGUCAGUCAAGAGGCUGCUGGAAGGGAGGGGAGGCAGGAGGAGCAUCAACCUGCACACAGCCAAGUACCAAACAAACAACCUGGCACUUACUGGGUGGGGAGUCACUGAGUGAAGGGGUUUCCUCCAUGCAUCUUCACCAAAGUGCUGCCCAUUACAGUGCCCAGCUGCAGGAGCGAAACCAUGGCUGCAGUCGCUGUACUGAGGAACGACUCGCUCCAGGCAUUCCUACAGGACAGGACCCCCAGCGCCUCACCAGAUGUCAGUAAACAUUCCCCACUGGCUCUCCUGGCUGCUACAUGUAGUCGAAUUGGUCAACCAGGAAGUGGUGCGGAGUUUAUUCAGGUUCCUUAUGAUCCCACUAUUGGAUCUCCCUCGAGGAUCUUCCACCCAUGGACUAAUGACAUAUCUUCGCACUCUCCAGGUGGCAUUCAGACACAUAACAGUCUUGGACUUACUGCCCCCAAAAACCAACUCCCAUCUCACAUCCAGUCUACAUUUGUUACUCACGAACUUCCCCUGACUCCCCCUGCCGACCCUUCCUAUCCUUAUGAAUUUUCCCCAGUCAAAAUGUUACCUUCCCCAAUGGCUGCUUUUCAGUCAUCUAAUUGCCAGUCCACCUUUGUUUCUUCGGUUCCUUAUCCUCCUGCUGCACCUAUUGCUUCUGCAAUCCAUGGAUUUGUACCAGGUCAUUCCAACCUGAUACAUCAGCAACCAAGGCAACUGUCCCCCAAUCCAGCAGAAGACAUCCCCUGGUGGAGCAUUCAACAGUCUACCCCAGUCACCCACCCGUCGGCACUUCCUCAUGCUCAUCAUCACCGGUUUCCCAUCCAGAGAAGUUUAGUUCUAGGACAUUCAGACUUUGCACAAUACCAGACUCAAAUCGCUGCUCUUCUGCAGACCAAAUCCCCAUUGGCUACUGCCAGGAGAUGCAGAAGGUGCAGAUGUCCGAACUGCCAAUCCUCCAGCGGCCCAGAAGAGCCAGGAAAGAAGAAACAGCACAUCUGCCACAUCCCAGGUUGUGGAAAAGUAUAUGGGAAAACUUCCCACCUAAAGGCCCAUCUGAGGUGGCACUCGGGUGAGAGACCCUUUAUUUGUAACUGGUUAUUCUGUGGCAAAAGUUUCACCAGAUCUGAUGAGCUACAAAGGCACUUACGGACUCAUACUGGUGAAAAGAGGUUUGUCUGUUCGGAAUGUGGAAAAAGGUUCAUGAGAAGCGAUCAUCUGGCCAAACAUGUGAAAACCCAUCAGAAUAAGAAGAUCAAAGGGGUUGAGAGGACAGUCAAACAGGAGCAAAACAGAGACCACUAGAGGAGGCUUCAUGGAUUUUUCUAUAGUGCAAUAUACUUGAAUAUUGACGUAUUGGAGUAUUGACAACCCCUAAAUGUAUCAAAGCACAAUACUUGUCAGAUUCUGACUCAAGUGAAAUCUUUCUUUCAUUUUUUUUUUUUUUUUUUUUUACUUUAAGGAUCUUUCUGAGGACCCUAAGGAUUUGUAUAUAUUUCUGUGCAAAGUGUAAUUAAACUUGGUGUAAUCUAUACUGACUUGCUCCAAAACCUUCAUUCUUUCCCUGCAGACUAUUUCAUGUGUUUGAAAAAACUUCUUCAGUUCUUCUCACCCAUCCGUUGCCGCGUACAUUAUUGAUUUUGUAAAAGGGACAUAAAAAAAAAAAGUUUUACUCUCAAAUAAACAGUGAAUUUUUUGGUUCCCGGAGUCAUUGCCAACUUGGCUCUGUCUAAAUUUCAAUUUAGGUGCCACGUGUCUCUUUACCGCUUAUACAGAAACUGUUUUGUUUUUCAUACUAAUGUUUUUAUUAGAAUUCUCAGCUUUUGUUCUUUUGGAUGUUGCUCUCUCCUUCCUUCCAUAAUUUUGCAUAAUUCUGUAAUGACUAAGUGUUUUAUAUGCCAUCUCUAGUAUUAUUAUUGAUAGAUCUUCAUCAGUGUUCGCGAGAAUCGGUCCAGUGGAUAAGUUGCCUUUAGCAAUAUACCUUCUAUUAAUGUAAAUGUGGCAUUAGUUUCUUGCAGCUAUGUACAAUGUUAAGUUGUGUUUUGUUAUUUGCCCAGGGAAUGUGCCUGCCUGUAUAGUCGGCGUGUCAGCAUAUGUUCCUUUUUUUUUUGUCUUUCUUUUUUUUAUUUGUUUUUUAAACAAUGCACCUUAGAAUAAACAAAAUGUGUUGUAUCAUUAAGGUUCUGUUCACACUGAAACAGCAUAAGGCUAGGUUUCUUCCCAGGGUUUUUUUUUUAGGCGUUUUUUUUUUUUUGGGAAAACGGCCAGGGCAAUUUUUAAGCCAAAGCCAGAAGUGUAUUCAAAAGGAUUGGGAAAUACAAAAGAAGAUACGCCUCCUGCUGAAUCAACUUCUGACUUUGGCUCAAAAACUGCAGUUUUCCAAAAAAAAAAAAAAAAAAAACAUCAACUCAUAAAAAAAAAAACCUAUGUGGACUCUAGCCUAAGGGUUGUUCACGUGAAGUUUUUGGUUUUUUUUUGCACAAAGAGAAAGAAAAUAAUGCAGCAAAAACAUCGAGCAUAAGGGAAAUGUGUGGAAAAAAGUAACAAUGGGUAAAUUUAUCAUUGAGUUUACCCCUAUUUCUAUUUUUUUGCGCCAAAAUUUGCGCAGUGACUUUAAUUGCGCCUUUUUCUGUGUCUUUUUGAUAGAAUAUUUUCCCAUGUUCUCUACGUGCUCGUGUACCAUAGAAAGAAAAAUGUUUUACACACUAAUUUACUAUUGCGCAUUUCUUUGUUUAGAUAUUAAAACUUUGCGCAAAGGCAACAGAUUUUGCGCAAAAUAGCACACCGAGGAGUGCACGUACCAAUGUGUCAGACGGUAGAAACAUGAAGGAAUGUCUAUGUUUGAGCAAAAUUUAUCAACAAUCUUGCGCACGGUUGAUACAUUUUUCACAGACAUGCAAAACAUAGACAGCACUGACAUGGUUGGAGACCACUGGUUUAAAUGAUUUCUACCUCACACCGACAUCUCCCCCAAUGUUCUUGUUCUAAUAUUUACAAACACUUUACUUUCUGUUUAUCAUUAUUUAUUAGUUAUGUGAUAUUGGGUUAGUGUAGAACAGUGUUUCCCAACCAGGGUGCCUCCAGAUGUUGCAAAACUACAACACCAAGAAUGCCUGUACAGCCUUUGGUAGCCUUUGGCUGUCUAGGCAUGCUGGGAGUUGUAGUUUUGCAACACCUGGAGGCGCCCUGGUUAGGAAACACUGGUGUAGGAUAAGCUAUUAUAGUGAACAGAGCCUUAAAGCGUAAUCCAGCUCAAAACCUGUAAAUGUAGGUAAUUGCAGUUUAUUCCAGUAUUGCACGAAACCUAUGUCACACUAAGGCUAUGUUCACACAGUGACACUUCUGUGACUUCUGUGACUCUGUUUCCUUUUUGCCAAUUUAGGUUUAGUUACAGAUUUUUUGCGGAAUGUGCGUGGACUUUGUGCUGAAUUUAUGCAGAAUUUCUUGCUCUCAACACACAGAUUCCGGACCGACUCAGUGGACUCAGCAAAAACUAUUGAUUGGUUCAGCUGCAGAAAUUGAUUGGUUCAGCUGCAGAAAUUCUGCAGGAGAAAACACUGCUGUGUGAAUGGGACAGCAGAAUUUCCAUUCACCACAAUGUUAACUCCAUGUAGCAGAAUUUCCUGCAUGAAAAUUCUGCUGCGUAAACACAGCCUAAGGGUACGUUCACACGCGCUGAUUUUCAGCGUAUUUUACGCUGUAGAUCCAUUGGUGAAGGCCCCGCUCUAUGCUGGCUUUACAUGUGCCUGCUCGUAGCGGCAAUACUCCGCUACCAGCAGGCACACUGCGAUGUGCGAGUCGCAGUAUAUUCGCACAUCGGGGCAGCUCUCUGCCUAGCUCAGAGCAGGGAGAGCAACUGCGAUGUGCGAAUAAGCUGCACAGAUCGCUGCACUGUGUCUGCUGGUAGCGGCGUAUUGCCGCUACGAUCAGGCAUAUGUAAAGCCAGCAUAGAGCGGGGCCUUCACCAAUGGAUCCGCAGCUAAAUACGCUGCGAAAAUCGGCGCGUGUGAACGUGCCCUAAGGGUACGUUCACAGGAGCGGAUACCCAGCUCGUAUUACGCUGCGGAUCUGCCGCUGAAGGACCGCCAUAUGCUGCCUUUACAGGUGCCUGCUCGGAUCGGCAAUACGCCGCUAAAAGCAGACACACUGUGAUGUGCGAGUUGCCGUACGCAUGCGCAGUAUACUCAUACAUCGUGGCAGCUCUCGGCCUAGCUAAAGAGCAGGGGGAGCGGCCGCAAUGUGUGUGAGUACACCGCGCAUGCACAGCUACUCGCACAUCGCUUCAGUGUGUCUGCUUGUAGCGGAGGAUUGCCGCUCCGAACAGGUACCUGUAAAGGCAGCAUACAGUGGUCCUUCAACGGCGGAUCCGCAACGUAAUAAGCACUGGGGAUCCGCUCGUGUGAACAUACCCUUAGAGGGUAUCCAGGAAAGCUGAGAUAUAGUUUGACAGAGUUCUCAUACUGCAGAGCUGGUAUAGUGAGUCUGAUUUUCUUUCCCUCACUAACAAAACAGCAGUUUUUGAUGCAAUUUUUGCUAUAGUUUUUGAUGUUUAUGAGUGAAAUCCUGGGAAGGAUCCACAAGGAAGUGUCUUGUCAUCCAUUCCUGCGCUUGGCUUAAAAAGUAUCACGAUCUGCAUCAAAAACUCAACCUGUGAUUCCAGCUUUGACUUUCUUAUUUUGUGAGGUUUGUAAGGAUAGAAAAUACAGCUCCCUAUAUCCCAGCUUCCCUAUAUGCCCACAAGGGCUGGUUAACACAAAAUAGUUGCUUUUGAUGCAGUUCUCCAUAAGACAGUGUUUCCCAACCUGUUGGGAAACUACAACUCCCAGCAUGCCCGGAGAGCUGAAAUGCAUGCGGGAAUCAAUACUAGGAGUCUAGGAACACACUGAUGGGAAGAGAAUAACACAAAUGUGAACAGAACCUAAUAAAAAGAGGUAUCAAGAGCUGAAUCUAGCCCAGUGUUUACCAAACAGUGUGCCUCCAGCUGCUGCAAAACUACAACUCCCUGUAGGUUUGCAACAGCUGGAGGCAAAAUUUGGAAAACACUGAUCUAGGCUUUGUAUGACAUAGGUUUUAGCAGACUUGCCCAAGUGUUUCCCAGCCAGGGUGCCUCCAGCUGUUGCAAAACUACAACUCCCAGCAUGCCCAGACAGGCUUUGGCUGUCUGGGCAUGUUGGAAGUUGUAGUUUUGCAAUAGCUGGAGGUACACUGGCUGGGAAACAUUAACUUACCUUUUCUUAGUAAUUUAGAUUACAUUAACAAAAUUUUGUACAACCAUUGAGAAAAAAUGUAUAACUUUUACUUCCUGUGUUGAAGUGUUGCAGCAUGCCCUUUUAUCCCAUAUGUUGCAGUUUGCGCUCUUUUUGUAAAACUACUAGGCUGAAAUAAUAUGUGACAAUUUGUCUAGUGAAUACAAUUGACUGUACAAUCCCCUAAAACUUCAGUAAAUAAUAUUUUAAUUUAAAUGUGAUUAAAUGUGGUGGUGAAAUGUCAUGAAU